rnacentral:lncRNA from 1 species
UCUCUAUUGGUCAGAAGGAAAGUCAUGAUUGUUGGACAUGCUGUUGGAUUGCUUUUGGAGAAAAAUAAUGAGGAAUCAUCAUAAGACGUGGAGCCAGGGGCCUCAGAUUCAGGCUCUUUGUGGUUGUACAUCUGCCCAUCGGGCCUGUAGAAUUUUUUGUACUUUGAUUUUCUGGCUGCUCUGAUAUUAAAAUAGUGUGACUUCCCACAUAUAUCC